AGCAGCCGCGGUAAUUCCAGCUCCAAUAGCGUAUAUUAAAGUUGCUGCAGUUAAAAAGCUCGUAGUUGAAUUUCGGGACUAAUAUGUCGGUCGUGCCUCGGUACGUACUGGCUUAUUGGUUUCUCCUUUCUGAAGAACCAUGAUGUCAUUUAUUUGGUGUCGUGGGGAAUCAGGACUGUUACUUUGAAAAAUUAGAGUGUUUAAAGCAGGCUCACGCUUGAAUACAUUAGCAUGGAAUAAUGAAAUAGGACGUUUGAUUCUAUUUUGUUGGUUUCUAGGAUCGACGUAAUGAUUAAUAGGGAUAGUUGGGGGCAUUAGUAUUCAAUUGUCAGAGGUGAAAUUCUUGGAUUUAUUGAAGACUAACUACUGCGAAAGCAUUUGCCAAGGAUGUUUUCAUUAAUCAAGAACGAAAGUUAGGGGAUCGAAGACGAUCAGAUACCGUCGUAGUCU
rnacentral:rRNA from 2 species